rnacentral:rRNA from 1 species
AGCGAACGCUGGCGGCAUGCUUAACACAUGCAAGUCGCUACGGCGGGGGCAACUCCGUCAGUGGCGACGGGUGAGUAACGCGUAGGAAUCUAUCCUUGAAUGGGGGACAACCGUGGGAAACUACGGCUAAUACCGCAUGAUGCCUGAGGGCCAAAGACGAAAGUCGUUUGAGGAGGAGCCUGCGUCUGAUUAGGUAGUUGGUGGGGUAAAGGCCUACCAAGCCCUACGAUCAGUAGCUGGUCUGAGAGGAUGAUCAGCCACAUUGGGACUGAGACACGGCCCAAACUCCUACGGGAGGCAGCAGUGGGAAUAUUGGACAAUGGCGCAAGCCUGAUCCAGCAAUGCCGCGUGGGUGAAGAAGGUCUUCGGAUUGUAAAGCCCUUUUGGCGGGGACGAUGAUGACGGUACCCGCAGAAUAAGCUCCGGCUAACUUCGUG